rnacentral:rRNA from 1 species
UACGUAGUGUGAAUUGCAGAAUUCCGCGAAUCAUCGAGUCUUUGAACGCAAGUUGCGCCCGAGGCUUGUCCAAGGGCAUUUCCGCUAGAGCGUCACC